rnacentral:rRNA from 1 species
GAACUGAAGAGUUUGAUCAUGGCUCAGAUUGAACGCUGGCGGCAGGCCUAACACAUGCAAGUCGAGCGGAUGACGGGAGCUUGCUCCUUGAUUCAGCGGCGGACGGGUGAGUAAUGCCUAGGAAUCUGCC